GACGAACGCUGGCGGCGUGCUUAACACAUGCAAGUCGAACGGUGAAAGCGGAGCUUGCUCCGCUGGAUCAGUGGCGAACGGGUGAGUAACACGUGGGCAACCUGCCCCUGACUUCGGGAUAACUCCUCGAAAGAGGUGCUAAUACCGGAUACGAAUCCUGCGGGCAUCUGCGGGAUUGGAAAGUUUUUCGGUCAGGGAUGGGCCCGCGGCCUAUCAGCUUGUUGGUGAGGUAGUGGCUCACCAAGCCGACGAUCUGUAGCUGGUCUGAGAGGACGACCAGCCACACUGGGACUGAGACACGGCCCAGACUCCUACGGGAGGCAGCAGUGGGGAAUUUUGGACAAUGGGCGCAAGCCUGAUCCAGCAAUGCCGCGUGCAGGAAGAAGGCCUUCGGGUUGUAAACUGCUUUUGUACGGAACGAAACGGCUCUGGUUAAUACCUGGGGCUAAUGACGGUACCGUAAGAAUAAGCACCGGCUAACUACGUGCCAGCCGCCGCAGUAAGAC
rnacentral:rRNA from 1 species